GCAACCUUGACCCCAACUCCUGCACUUGUCCUAUCAUUAGUAAAGUUAAAAAUUGUAAAUAUCUAGGUAUCUAUAUAGAUGAGAACCUGAAAUGGGAUAACCAUAUUAAAUUCAUUUGCAGGAGGAAGAAAUAACUCUCUUGCAAAUUUUAUGCAACUAGUAAAAUUCUGAAUCCAACUCAUCUUAAAAUGCUUUAUUUUGCUAUGGUACAGUCUAUAAUUCAAUACGGAAUAGCAGUAUGGGGGGAGGGUGUUAUAAUUCCCAUUUGGAAGAAGUGUUCAUAAUGCAGAAAUUAAUAAUUAAAUCAGUUUUAAAUAAAUAAAUCCAGAUUUUUCCCUACUGACCUUAUAUUUGAUGAAUUCAAGGUUUUGACAGUUAAUCUUUAAAUUAUUGUAACCGUUAUCUUUAUUGUUAUUUCACAUCCUAUCUCCCCUUCCCUCAGCCCUGCCUAUCUAACUACCUUCUCUCACUUCCCUAUCACACACCCUUCCCUUCCAGUUUUACCUUAACUGCCUAUUACAUGGGAAACCAUAGUUGGCAAGAUAUUUUCCCCCUCUUUCUUCCAGCACACAUUAAUAUUGUCUUUAAUGUGUUAAUAUCAUUGUUACUGCUAUUGUUUUGCUGUAUAUCGCAUUUUCUCAUUGUAUUUUUGUGUUUGUAGAUGUCCGUUAGAAUGUGCUUCAUUAAAUUCAACCAACUCUAUUUGAAGUACGAUCGUUGCGCUUAUUAUCGAAAUUAAUAUCUCCAAUUGGGGGACUAUUUAGUUAUUAUUGUUUAAUUAACAACCGGCUAGAUUUCCGCUUGAUAGUUGGGUGUGGGAGUUGAGUUACGUGUGUUUAUUGGAAUAUUAUCUCAGGAGUGUACAGUACAUACCUAAUAUUAAGCUAUCGGUUUGAAAAUAGACAUUUCAAUAAAUAAUUAUCCCAGAUUGGGGAAAAUAUUAACGUAUCUCUUCGGAAGUUUGCAUCGAAAUUUUGGGGGCAGCGCAGCCGGUAGUGGAAUCAACUGAAACCUGUUAAUCCUGGCACUCAUCCUACCUAAUUCUACCCAAAUUCCAAUAGAAUCAGAUCAGUUGGUAAGAGAUUCCGACUGGACUUCCUGAUUACAAAAGAUUGAUAAAAUCUUCUUCCAUUUAGUGGCAUGCAAUUCAACAGUCAACAACUAAUUCUGGUUCAAUCUUUAAAUCGCAGCCUAUAUUGAUCAGUUGAGCAUCUCUGAGCAUUCUAUGUUUUGAACAUACAUACUAUAUAUUGCCAACAUAUUUCAACAGUACUAAUUUAUUAGCAUCAAUGUAAAUCUUGGUUGUAACAAUGUAGGAGGAUCGCUUCCAGGCCUUGCGCUGCAGGAUGUGGCCCAACUGCAGUUCCGCCCUGACGCCGCAGUGCGCCUCGGAAAGAUCGAACACAUUGAUGCCGCACUCGUAGGCCGCGUGCACCACGCAGUCAGCCGUCUCUUCACUCACGUUGUUGCCGAAUGUCACCCAUGUACCUGCAACACCAACAUCAGUUUGAAGAAAUGGGAAACGCUCUCUAUGGAAUAUCUUGGCACGUGCCCUGUACCUAAUAUCUCCUUAACCGCAUCCUGGUACUCCUCGGGGUAAAUACAUAGCUUGUAGGUCUACCUCUAGAAUAGGGUAUAUAUAAUUUUCAGAGGAUUGCUCAGAAGAUAAAACGUAACAAUUGAUUAAAUUGAAUUAUAAGAUAAAUAGCGUUAUGCUAGCUCAGUUGAGAAAUAUUAUUGAGUUGAGUAGAUUCUAGUUCUGUUGAAACUGGUACCUACCUAAAUAGAUUACUUUUUUGUUUUUAAAUAGAAUGACUAGCAGUUAAGUUCAAUAAAUAAAUGUAUUCACUUACUGUGACAAUUCCCUUUAUCUGUUUAUAUAUCUAAGAAUUAAAAAAUCACAUUAUUCACAGCGUAAAAUACUUGUCAUUUUGAAUAAAAUGUAAAUACAUAGCUUGUAGGUCUACAUCUAGAAUAGGGCAUAUAAUUUUUAGAGGAAUGUUCAGAAGAUAAAACGAAACGAUUGAAUUAAAUUAAAUUGUAAGAUAAAUAGCCUCAUGCCAGCUCAGUUGAGGAAUAUUAUUGAGUUGAGUAGACUCUAGUUCUGCUGAAACUGCGGUACCUAAUAUUACUUUUUGUUGUUAAAUAUAACGACUAGCAGUCAAGUAUCUUCAAUAAAUGAAUUUAUUCACUUACUGUGACAACGAUAUCUUACGUACAGGUUCAUGGUUGUCACAAUUAUGACCUGUCGAAAGAUCUCGUUGUCAUAGUGAGUGAAUAAAUUCAUUUAUUGAAGAUACUAAUAGUAAAAGUGAUACUAAUUGAAAAAGUGAUCUAAUAGUAAGCAGUGAGUGGUGGAAAACAACAUUGAAUAAUUCUAAAUAGAUUGUAGAAUACGAGUGUUUCAAUGCUCUCCGAAUCACCCAAAAUACUUGAAACAACCAACUCUAGAUUUCCCCACUCAAAUGAGAAUUUAUUAUCAUAGAGAAACAAUAGCGUAAGUAGAUAUCCCAUGGUAUAGGGAAUUUAUGUCGCAACUUUUACUGUUAUCUCAAGCCGAUUACUAUCGAUUAUUGUCAAUUUUUACUGUUUUGGUGGGGUGAUAGUGUAUGAACGGCACAAUUUGAGAGACUACCAGCGUCACACAGCUGCAUAGAAAAGAACUAUGUGAACUAUCGGCUUGGGAUAACAGUAAAACUUGUGACAUAAACGCCCUAUACCAUGGGAUAUCUAUGCUAUCGUUUCUCUAUGGUAUUAUUAAAUCAUUGAAAAAUAUAUUUCCUUGACGAAUAACAUGUAAUUUAUUAUAUUAAACACGAAUGAACAGUUAAUAUAAUAGUAAUAAAUAGUCUGUAAUAGUUGUUCUGUCUAACAAACAUUAUUUAAUGGUUUGUCUAGACAAACCAUUAAAUAAAUAUUACAACAGAUAUACUGGUAUCAGCUAUUCUGUAAAGAAGGCAGAUGCAAGGGCAGAAAAUUGUCAACUGCACUCAUUAUCAUCCUAUUCACUACGUCUCAGUGUCUCACCCUCUAGGUUUCUGAGCCAAUAGCAUAUUUAUUAUUGAAAUGUUUAGACAAACCAUCAGUUUAUCAUUAUUUUCCCUCUUAUUAUACAAUUUUUACAGUAGGCCUGCAUAAUGCAUAAUUCCAUUGAUUUAUAUUCUCACCAUUUUGACUUAUUAACCAAUAGUACGAUUAUUAUUUAAAAUGUUUAUAUUGAGUAGUUCGACAAAAAAUGAAGUGCUAUUAAUUGUUUUUGAAUAACGAAUGAUUAUUGAUUGUGUUAUGUUGAUUUUUUUAAAUACAUUUUCAAGUGGAUAUAAUAUUCUAAUCUCUAUUAGCCAAUGUCUUACAUUCUAGGCUUCUGGGCUGAUUAAUAAGAUUAAAAACCGUUUCUUAUUUAAAAUCUUUAUAAUAAAUGCCUUUACUGUACUUUCACAAAUUAUUAUUGUGUUAAUAAAUCUAUUUUUUCAAAGAUUU
rnacentral:lncRNA from 1 species